CCACGACGACAUGUUAUUAGGAUUGUGAGUGACAACGAUGCUUCUCCAUUUGAGCGUCCUGUCAUGGAAUCCGUGCUCGAUUUGCCCACUGUAGAAGCUACUGAUUGCGUGGACAAUGUUGUCAAUGAGAAUUAUUGCGUGGAAAGCAUGACCCAUUUAUCUAAUGCAGAAGCUGCGAAUUGUGUCGAAAACAGUGCAGUUGCUUCUUCAGUAAUUGAUUGUGGUAUGCAGUCGAAAGUAGGAAUGGGAGGCAAGGCGACCGAAAUUUGCAAUUUUUUCUCAGACAUUGUGCACGAAUUAAAACGUAAACUGAAGUGCGUCCGUGAAAAACUUCGAAGAAGAGAGAAGAAAGUGUUUUCCAUGGAUGACAUCAUAAGUUCAUUGAAGGAGGAGGGGCAUCUUCCUGAAAAGUUACAUAACUUCCUCAAUCAUCAGAAAGGAACACAAGUGUAAUUAGUGUGCAAUUCAGUGAACAACUCUCUCUCAUCAAAGGGUAAUAGAUACACAACAAAUGUGAAAAUGUUUGCGAUGACUGUGUACUUUUAUUCACCAGCAGCAUAUGCAUACCUGCAAAAAUUAAUGCCUCUGCCCCAUAAAUCAUUGAUUUCCA